GUGGAAAAUGUUUGGGUCAUUACGGGGCAACUUUGUUACAUUUUGACCGAAGAGAUUUGACCUUUUUGUAAGGGGCAUAACCCCUGUUUUAGGUUUCUGAAAAGACAAAAUCACCUUUUACUAUAUAACCAAAGGUCCUAGACCCAUGGGGUCUUCAGCAAUGACAUUGGGGACCAAUGACCUUGACAAAGGUCAAAAGGUCAAAGGUCAAGGUCAUGUACCAGAUAGCGAAUUUAGUGAUUUUAACCUUAUUUAAGGUUUUCAAUGUGUUUUAAAGAUUUUCAGUGUGUUUUAAAGCUGUUUAAGGUUGACCUUGACCUUUGACCUUAAAACUUUUAAGUCGAUAUCUCAAAAACGAUUGUACUUACAGAAAUAGUAAAUAGUGAAAAACGCGUUGAGGUGGAUGAGGCGCAACUUUUUGACAUUUGACCGAAGAGAUUUGACCUUUCUAUAAGGGGCAUAACCCUUGUUUUAGAUUUCUGAAAAGGCAAAAUCAGCUUUUACUGUAUAACCAAAGGUCCU
rnacentral:lncRNA from 1 species